rnacentral:lncRNA from 1 species
CAACUCUUCAUUUUGGCGAUCCUGGAGAGUUAUUGCAGUUAUUUUUACAUUUAAAUAACAUGUGCAAGUCGCCAAUGAAGUCGCCAGAAAUGACUGUUUAGCGAGUAACGCCCUACUUUGUCGUCUUCUCUUCUUCUCCCUGUAUGUCCAUCAAACAUGUCCUCCUUGGACCCUCACAGGCUGCAUUCUUCUUAAGAAGAAUACAAGAGGAGAGACAAGGAGAGAAUUACACGGCGGAACCUGCAAUUUCCAGACUGGCCCUAUAGCCCCUGGCUACCAAGAGCUGCUUCCUGCAGAUGGGGAGACAGGUGUACAAUGCUGAAUGACUUCUAUUAGCCCGUCUCGGGCCACUUCCUUCAGAUAACUCGGUGAGGGAACUCUACACUUCUUUUUCCCCUUAUAAACUUAAUAAUAAUUAAUAUGUUCUAGAAAUAUAUGUAAAUCCUUCAGACACUGAUAUAAAUAUUAUAGGAGUAAUUUAAUAGAGAACAUUUAAUUUAUCCAUCUAUUUGUCACUUAAUAUUUUAUUAUUAGUGUCCCAUCAUAUACAUGUUUGUCACCACUUCAGUAUAGGAAUGGAACACGUAUCUUAAGCCUAUUGUAUUAAAUGAUUACUUGGUGUUUUGCCCUCUAUAUCUGACAGGUCAGGGAACCUUGUGAUUAUCCUAAAAUAGAUACCCUAUUGUAUUGGAUUCUUCCGUUUUGUAGAGUGAAUGAGUGAAUAUAUAUAUAUACAUACAUACACACACACACACAUAUAUAUAUAUUUCCUUUGCAGCCUACACCAGAAUUAAUAUACUCCCCCCAAAUAAAUAAGGUGUUACCAUUUUUUAUUUUUUUUAGGCCAGUACCGUGCAAUAAGUUAUACAUUUUCAAAAUACAUUCCUGUUACUUUUUAAAUGUAACCUUGCUUGGCAGCAUAGCAUAGUGUUAGAACUAACAGCCAUAAAUUCUUUUAUAUGCCGUUUGAAACAAUGUUUCACAAUUGAAAGAAAAUAUUCCUUCAUUAUAUACUGAGAUGCAUAAAGCACAACUGUAGAAACAAGCAGAUCAGAGGAUUUUGUGAGAGGAAUUUGGCUGAAGAAACAGCUCACCAUAUUAUAGUAGUAUAUGGCACACGUACCAGUAAUUGGAGGUGAGCACUGCUCCCUAGCAAUUUAUGGAUGUGAAAAAAAGGGCAAUUAAAAGACAAAGGUGACAUAUAUAUUAUAUUUUACUGCACAACAGAAUUAUAUAUUAUUUAAAAGGUCCCCCAGCAUUCCCUUCUUUGCCACUUGCACAAGAAAACACAUUGGUGGGACAUAAUAUAUUAUAUAGGGCAGGAUAUAAAAAAAUAAAAUCUAUUUUUUAGAAUUUAAUUUAAUUCAUAAUUUUGUUUAAAAAAAAAAUACAAAUCAAUCCUAUUAGUUCUUAGCAGUCUUUCUUUUCUUUUCUUCUUUAACUAUGCCAAUUAUUUUGUUUUCUUUACUUACUAUAUAUUUUGACUAGAUAUUUUAAUUAUAAAUAUGUAUGACAUAGUCUGUAAAUGUUUUUAAUGUUCCAAUGGAUAUUUAGAUGUAUUACAUAAUGAUGGUGAAAUAAGAAUAUAAAAAAUAAAGCAGUUAUUUUUUUUAAUAAUCAUUUUAAAUACAAGUCCUACUAUCUCAAAGGCUUUCCCUCUUUAGCAGUCCAAAUAUUUCUAAAUAAAAGAAGAAUCUUUUUUUACUUUUAUUAUAUUAAAGGAAAACUAUAGUCACCUAAACAACUUUAGCUUAAUGAGAAGGAGUUGUUAAAUUACUUUUAUUGUUACAUUAAUAGAUCAUGGUCAUCUGAAUCACCCAUACCCUUAUUAUCUGCUCAUGGAAAUAAACACAAUUUAAAGGACCAAUGCAGUCACCUAAACAACUUUAGCUUAAUGAAGUAGUUUUAGUGUAUAGAUCAUGCUUCUCAGGUUUCACUGCUCAAUUCACUGCCAUUUAGGAGUUAAAUCACUUUGUUUCCAUUUAUGCAGCCCUUGCCACAACUCCCCUGGCUAUGACUGACACAGCCUGCAUGAAAAAAAAAAAACUGGUUUCACGUUCAAUGAGAUGUAAUUUACCUUAAACAAUUGUAUCUCUUUCUCUCUAAAUUGAACUUUAAUCAUAUACAGGAAGCUCUUACAGGUUCUAGCAAGCUAUUAACAUAGCAGGGAAUAAGAAAGUCUAAAUGAAACACAACUUGCAAUAAAGGAAAGAAACUUUAGAUGACUCUUUACAGGAAGUGUUUAGGAAGGCUAUGCAAGUCACAUGCAGGGAGGUGUGACAAGGGUUCAUAAACAAAGUGAUUUAACUCCUAAAUGGCAGAGCAGUGAGACUGCAGGGACAUGAUCUAUACACCAAACUGCUUCAUUAAGCAAAAAUGGUUUUGGUGACUAUAGUGUCCCUUUAAACCUUACAUUGUUUAAAAUUUACUGAUUGGUGGAUGGCUCAAAAAUAGAUUUUACCUACUGAAUGUGGUAGACAUAAUAAGAGUAACAAAUUAAGUGCAAUUAUUGUGCAAAGUUUUACAAAUCAAAUAAUCAGCAGUAAAAUUCCACUGGUUUCCAUGGAGACUGCUCCACGUUCAAUGGCUUACUCUGCACCAGUCUGUUCCUAAUUAGAAUUGUGUACACAUCUAGGCCUAGGUACUUUAUGAUCAGUACAUGUAUCAGGUCAUAUUUACUAUUUAAAGCAAGGAUCACAGAGCAUUACAAUUAAACAAAAGUCUGUGGACAUAUAUUUUUACUUUAGAAGCAACAUUUACUUCUACCAAUCAAUUGAUAACAUUUAUUUUUCUUACAUCCGUGACCCAAUCACAAAAUAUAUUAAUGUAGUAUUAUUUUCGGUACUUUGAGUGAAUUUUAUUCAAGCAAUGUACUAGAACACUGAAUAUAAUAUUUUAAUAGAUACUAGUUCUAGUUUCCAAAGAAACUUGUGUUGGUAUAUUUAUUAUAAAUGUUUGUUGAUUUGUUACACAUAUAAACGAUUUGCAGUCAUGUGCACUUACACUCUCACACUGUAGGGGCAGCAUGCACAAAACUCUUACAUGGAAAGAAAGAAAUGAAAGACAGUUUAUUAUUUAAAAAUAUAAUCAAAACCAGACUUUCAGUUUUAUUAACUAAAGUAGGAAUUCAAAGUAAAUGUAAAAUUUUAGGCCAGCUGAAAAAUAUACAUAUUUUUUGUAAAUUAUAUAUAUUUUGUUAGUUCAUCUGUUUUGAGCUAAAAAUUCAGUUUACCUGGUCAGUUUUUUCAUAUAUCUUUUCAGUGGCCUUUCCAAUAUUCUGAUAAGCAAAAUGUUCUGAUAAGUACAGGCUUUUCUCCAAAUUGUAAUAUUUCUUGCAAUCUGUAACUGAAUGGCCAGUAAAUCACACAUUCUGUCUUCUACUAAAACUGGAAUGCAAAUAGUCUUAAAGCAAUCACCACGCAUAUUACUACUCUGUGGAUUACAGGUGUCCUUAUCCAUACUUUAUUCCCCUUCUUGACAAAUUUUCCCAUGUGGAGAGAUUACAAAGCAAGAGACUCGUUUACCAUGCACACAACAUUAUUAACAUGCAUUUUGCUUUAAAUCACACUGCACUGUUUUAGACAGGCGGAAAAUUCAUUAAAUCUUUUAUUUUGUUUUUGACAUGUUUUGAAUAAAAGAAACGUUUUCAAACAGACAAUGAUACUUCUAAACCAAUGACCCCCUGCUACAUCCCCCUUCAGUUUUAUCUGUAAAGGAAGCUCCUGUCUGAUUCUCAAGACACUGUCUGGGUACAAGUUAAACUGGAUCUCUCUGAGGUUAAUGUUUUCCAGAUUUUACACCUUAUGUUUCAGUUCACUAGAUGUUCAGAUGCACCAAAGAACCAAACAAAGAAGAGACGAGAAGGGAUUAAAGAAAAAAUAUAUCAUGCAAGAUUUGUAAGUAUAUUUCCAGGGUCUAUUUAAGGGGCCUGUUCACUAAAUAGUGAGUCGUGGUUAGUUAAGAAGACUUGUAAAGUGUAGAUCCAAAUAGUUGAUUAAAACAACUUUUUUUGACUCAGCUCCUUUGAAGUUUCUUCCGAGUUUGGUUAAUUUAGCCUACGGUUUGAAAGUUGGAUAUAAAAUCACCACUGCUCAUGUGAUAACUGAUGUAUGCUAUAUCUUACAACUAACCAGUUUGCAUUUCCUUUUAGGCCUUACUCCUUUCCUGGCUGUUCCAGCAGUUAUUAAAGGGACACUAUAGUCACCAAAACAACUUAAAGGGACACUAUAUUCACUAGAACAACUACAGCUUAUUGAAUUUGUUCUGGUGAGUAGAAUCAUUACCUUCAUGCCUUUUGCUGUAAACACUGUCUUUUCAGAGAAAAUGCAGUGUUUACAUUACAGCCUAGUGAAAACUUCACUGGCCACUCCUCAGAUAGCUGCUAGAGAUCCUUCCUGGGUUAUGGCUGCCUAAAAUGCAUCCAAACAUUCAGUGUCUCCUCCCUCUGCAUGCAGACACUGAACUUUCCUCAUAGAGAUUCAUUGAUUCAAUUCAUCUCUAUGAGGAGAUGCUGAUUGGCCAGGGCUAUGUUUGAAUUGUGCUGGCUCUUCCCCUGAUCUGCC